rnacentral:lncRNA from 13 species
CGAGUUGCAGCCUGAUUGGAGGAUGUUUUAGGUACGAACUAGCCUACAAGUGAAUUUCUGGCGGCACAUAAUGCGUUUGGAUGCUUGCAAGCUGGAUAUCAAGUGGCAGAUGUUCCUGCUAAAUAACAGCGAGAUAUCCCCGACAGCUAUUUUAAAAGCUUCAAAGACGACCGUUAUCUGGGAAAGUCUCACGCAAAAUGAUUGCCGUUGCUGGACUCCAUCUCUCAACGUGAUUGACAGCAGAUCCUCUCCAAAAGCAAACUUACAGAGCGUGACAAGAGCUUAAUCACCCCCACUGCUGGACUGUGUGUCUGAAUGUGUAGUUUCAUACUGUAUGUGUGUGGUUACACUAUAGCCUACCCCUUUUAUUAACCCCCUCCUCCCCUCACACAUACACAUGCUACCCCACCUGCUCCUCCACCCACCACUGACCCCUGAAUACACAGUUAACAGCCGUCACAGGUUGCUUGGCGAAAGCAUGCUGCGUCCCACUAUGGCACUGUGGGUCUGCAUAAGUGGUCACAUAAGUGCUUUCUAGCUGAUCUGAGCGAUGUGUGUGUGUGUGUGUGUGUACUGCAUGAGUGCUGUUAUUGUGUGUCUGUCUGUCUGUCUGUGUGUGUGUGUGUGUGUGUGUGNNNNNNNNNNUUUUUGUCCCGAAUAUUUAGUAAUUGAAACUGAAACAGUGCAGCAAACAAUGUACCAGUCCAGCUGUGAUUUACAACCUGAUAGUAAUAUUUUUGGACUAGCAAGAAAUGUAUAGGUGAAUUAUAUUAAUCAUGCAUUGAACUGCAUCCAUCUAUUCUGCCAAAAAUGCCUUAGUGUUCGUCAUGGAACGUUGACUCAAAUAGAACCUAUUUUUAAAACCUCU